GGGAUUGCCCUAGUAACGGCGAGUGAAGCGGCAACAGCUCAAAUUUGAAAUCUGGCUCUUUCAGAGUCCGAGUUGUAAUUUGCAGAGGGCGCUUUGGCGUUGGGAGCGGUCCAAGUUCUUUGGAACAGGACGUCACAGAGGGUGAGAAUCCCGUACGUGGUCGCUAUCCUUCGCCGUGUAAAGCCCCUUCGACGAGUCGAGUUGUUUGGGAAUGCAGCUCUAAAUGGGAGGUAAAUUUCUUCUAAAGCUAAAUACUGGCCAGAGACCGAUAGCGCACAAGUAGAGUGAUCGAAAGAUGAAAAGCACUUUGGAAAGAGAGUCAAAUAGCACGUGAAAUUGUUGAAAGGGAAGCGCUUGCAGCCAGACUUGCCUGUAGUUGCUUAUCUGGACUUUUGUCCAGUGCACUCUUCUGCGGGCAGGCCAGCAUCAGUUUGGGCGGUUGGAUAAAGGUCUCUGUCAUGUACCUCCUUUCGGGGAGGCCUUAUAGGGGAGACGACAUGCAACCAGCCUGGACUGAGGUCCGCGCAUCUGCUAGGAUGCUGGCGUAAUGGCUGUAAGCGGCCCGUCUUGAAACACGGACCAAGGAGUCUAACAUCUAUGCGAGUGUUUGGGUGUCAAGCCCAGACGCGUAAUGAAAGUGAACGGAGGUGGGAACCUUUUAGGUGCACCAUCGACCGAUCCUGAUGUCUUCGGAAGGAUUUGAGUAAGAGCAUAGCUGUUGGGACCCGAAAGAUGGUGAACUAUGCUUGAAUAGGGUGAAGCCAGAGGAAACUCUGGUGGAGGCUCGCAGCGGUUCUGACGUGCAAAUCGAUCGUCAAAUUUGGGCAUAGGGGCGAAAGACUAAUCGA
rnacentral:rRNA from 1 species